UUUGGGGGCGGCUUUGUAGGAAAGUCUUAUUGAUUAUAUUUCAGUUAAUUUAGUGAGGUGUAGUUCAUAGACGCCCACUAGAUGGCGCCAAAGCCCCACAGUAAUUGUUAUUUUCUUAGUGUUAGUUUGUGUUUUGUCCCUUGCGAGCUCCUGUAGUUCCCUCGUGCAGUCUACCGAGCUGGAAGCAGCUGCACUGUGUGUUUGGUGGCAAAUACUCUUUAAAUUCACCAUUUGUGUGCGUCAAUUUGACCAAACCACACAUAUACCAUACACUUACGCUCCACAGACACACACCUCUGAUCACAACACUAUCUUGUACCGAGCUGAUGUCCCAGUGCUGUGUACUCAACACUAAAUUGGCUAUUAAAGAUCUGUUGAAUGAA